rnacentral:tRNA from 1 species
GCCUUCGUGGUGUAAUGGUCAGCACACCGAGCCGGUAUUUCAGAGGUCCGUGGUUCGAUCCCCGGCGAAGGCA